rnacentral:rRNA from 1 species
AGGAUCAUUAUUGAAUAAACUUGAACAGGCUGUUGCUGGCUCGAGAGGGCAUGUGCACGUCUGUCAUCUUUAACUUUCCACUGUGCACAUACUGUAGAUCUUCUAGAGCUUUUGAUUGUUCAAAUCGAUAGAGGGAUUGCUGUGUUUUUCUUUUUGAAGCCAGCUUUUCCUUGUAAUCUUUAGGAUCUAUGUUUAUUUUAACAACCCUCGAAAUGUGUUUAGAAUGUUGGAAUAACAAAGUUAUAUAAUAUAUACAACUUUCAGCAACGGAUCUCUUGGCUCUCGCAUCGAUGAAGAACGCAGCGAAAUGCGAUAAGUAAUGUGAAUUGCAGAAUUCAGUGAAUCAUCGAAUCAUUGAACGCACCUUGCGCUCCUUGGUAUUCCGAGGAGCAUGCCUGUUUGAGUGUCAUUAAAUUCUCAACCACACUUAAAGUGUUGGCUUGGAUAUUGGGGGUUUUAUUUUGCAGGCUUUUGAAAGACUAGAGCCAGCUCCCCUAAAAUGUAUUAGUAGUAUCUGAGCAGAGACUACCAUGGGUGUGAUAAAUAUCUAUGCCUUGGUGCCACUGCAUGAACGGAUUACACUGCUUAUAACAACACGAACAUAUAUGACAAAUUUGACCUCAAAUCAGGUAGGACUACCCGCUGAACUUAA